AGAAGAGGAAUUUCAUGCAAAGGUUGUAACAACGAAAACAGCUGCAAGCACAAAAAAAGCCAGGAACAGAGAGGAAGGGACGUAGUCAGCCAACAAGCGAGUUAUGUGGCAAGAGAGUGGGAGGACGAUCCUGAAGCUGUCCGAUUAUUUUACCGAUCAGACAUCAAGCUAAGGUUGCCAACGGCUUUUAGCUUCGAUUUUCGCCUUAUAACGUUAGCUACCUGGAACGCGACAACGCAGCAGUCAACACGGCAGAGAUAACAAAAAGGCCAAACUCCCAGACGACAGCGACGCCUCAGAUCAAACUGCCAGGCUGUGUUUUAAUCCUCAGUCUACCUUUUUUUUGGUUAGGGAUUCUGGGUGGAAUGACCCUGUCAUGAUGCCACAGCCGUGCCACACCCCACGCCCAGGGGACCAAAGAGGGCGUUUCUGGCUAUCAGCCAAGCACAGAGGAUGCCCCAAUAGAGUUAUUUCUGAUUCCAGUUCAGAGACAUUUCCUCUCAAGACACUCUUGCAUCACUGACACUCCGCCCCUCUGGUCAUAGCUUCUGUGCCCACCUGCUGCUUCCUCUAGAGUCCUUACUGUUUCCUGGUUACCUAUCUUGGGAUGUUGGCGUUGUUUUGUGGCAGCUGCCAUGGAGAUAAACAGAUUCCUUUAGUAGACCAUUUUAGACACAACCUCCAGAUGUUUUGCAAGAUGCAGGUUGUCCACACUGGCAGGAUUAGACAAGGACCGGCUCAGAGGUAAGAUGUUGAUCUCGACAUUGUCUCAUUAUAUUACUCAAUUAGACAGGAGACAGCAGUCUUUUGCAGUCACAAAAAAGAAAGCAGCAAAAAGGGAUUCAGCCCCCCAGCUUUAAUUGUUUUUUUAUCAUACGGUAUAGUCCUGCAUUUCUUCUGCGGUAAAAAUAGAAUGGGACACCUGGAUGAAGUGAGUGUCCUCAUCAGGCAUGUACCAGACGCGAGUGGUAUGAAUUGAUGCUUAUAAUGGUUAAUUAUUUAUUCCUUGAUGUCAUUCUAUGGCAGUGAGUCAGUACUGUAUGUAAAUAACUGUAAAAGAAAGGAACACCUUAUUACCGUAUUAGAUGUGUCAAUUCUAUUCAAAGAUGUAUAACAAAUGUCCAUAUGUAGUGCAACAAAAUUACAGAUAUUAAACGUUCUCACAUCAUUGUUGACAGCUUAGAAGGGCUGAAUGCCUUCAUGUACUUUUACAUUUUAUCAUGCUAUAUUAUGUUUUCUAUCACUCAUACAGUCUGCCAUUAUUAAUUGCUUUAUUGAAAACUGUCCUGAAUAGUUAUGCUGUAUUUUUUUUAUCCUAGGUGCUGUGGGGCUCAGCUUCCUAAUUCAUACUAUUUGACGACAUCACAGCAGGAAGUAUAGAACUUCCUAUUCCUGUGGAACAUCUUACUCUGCCUCUUGGCACUUGUGAGGACCUACUUGACCCUAUUGCAAGUUAGUCAA
rnacentral:lncRNA from 1 species